GUGUGAGCUGGGAGAAGCUGAGCCCAGGAGCAGGAAGCAGGCUAUUGUCCCUAACACUGAAGCAUUUUACAGCAGGGUUUUCUUUAAAUCUAUACACUUGUGACUUAACUGAGUGGUUGGUUAAUCAGUCAGCUGACUGGCUAGCAGUGAUUUCAGCAGAGGAAGAGUCUACAGGGAUUCCAGCUGAAGAUUUCUACAAGCAAGUGGAGGGAAGAUGUUGUUUUGGACUCAGCAGACUGUUUAGAUUUGGUGAUCAAAGACUCUAACUGAGACUUAGAUCUCUAAAUCCUGAUUUUGAGAACAGCAUUCCAUCAAGAAGGAAGUAAUCCAUGUACCUCCUCAAAAUAUCUAUGGACCUGACCUUCAGAGAUGCUGAAUGCCAGCAAUUCCCAUUGAUUUCAACUGCAGUUUUGGAUAUUGAGUGCCUCUGAAAAACAGGCCCCUAGGUCUGUAUUUAUAUGUACCAAAAUCACUCCUCUUGUAUCUUGCCAUG